GGGUUUCACCCUGUUGCCCAGGCUGGUCUCGAACUCCUGGACUCAAGUGAUCUGCCUACCUUGGCCUCCCAAAGUGCUAGGAUUACAAGCGUGAGACACUGCACCCAGCCUAGCUUUUUUUUUUUUUGAGACGGACUUUCACGAUGUCGCCCAGGCUGGAGUGCAAUGGCGUGAUCUCAGCUCACUGCAACCUCCGCCUCCCUGGUUCAAGUGAUUCUCCUACCUCAGUCUCCCGAAUAGUUAGGAUUAUAGGUGCCCACCAUCAUACCUGGCUAAUUUUUGUAUUUUUAGUAGAGACGGGGUUUUGCCAUGUUGGUCAGGCUGGCUCGAACUCCUGACCUCAGGUGAUCUGCCCACCUCAACCUCCCAAAAUGCUGGGAUUACUGGCAUGAACCACCGCACCCGGAAACAGCUGAGCUUUAAUACUAUAUAUGUAAGCUUCAAAUUAGCACAGAUUGGCCAGGCGCAGUGGCUGACGCCUGUAAUCCCAGCACUUUGGGAGGCCCAGGCAGGCUGAUUUCUGGAGGCCAGGAGUUCAAGACCAGCCUGGCCAACAUGGCCAAACCCUGUCUCUACUAAAAAAACAAAAAGUUAGCCAGGCAUGGUGGUGCAGGCCUGUAAUCCCAGCUACUUGGGAGGCUGAGGCAGGAGAAUCUAUUGGACCUGGGAGGCAGAGGUUGCAGUGAGCUGAGAUAGCGCCACUGAACUCCAGCCUGGGGCAUACAGCGAGACUCUGUCUCAAAAAAAAAAAAAAUUAGCACAGAUUUAUUACUGUUGUCCCACUGUAUUCUCAGGGGAUUGGUCCCAGGACCCUAGGGAUAUCAAAAUCCUUGGAUGCUCAAGUCUCUGAUAGAAAAUUUAUUAAUAUGCCAGGUGCGGUGGCUCACGCCUGUAAUCCCAGCACUUUGGGAGGCCGAGGCGGGUGGAUCACCUGAGGUCAGGAGUUCGAGACCAGCCUGACCAGCAUGGUGAAACCCCGUCUCUACUAAAAAUACAAAAAUUAGCUGGGCGUGGUGGCGUGCGCCUGUAAUCCCAGCUAUGCAGGAGGCUAAGGCAGGAGAAUCUCUUGAAUCUGGGAGGUGGAGAUUUCAGUGAGCCGAGAUCGCACCACUGCUCUUCGGCCUGGGUGACAGAGUGAGACUCUGUCUCAAAAAAAAAAAAAAAAAAAAAAGAAUUGCUUCAUAUUUGCAUAUAAUCUAUGUAUAUCCUCCUGUAUACUUUGUAAUCUCUAGAUUACUUAUAAUACCUAAUACAAUGUAAAUGCCAUGUAAAUAGUGUAUUAUUUUUAAAAUUUGUAUUAUUUUAAUUGUUGUAUCGUUAUAUUUUAUUCAGUUUUUUUCCCCCAUUUUUUUUUUUGAGGUGGAGCCUCACUCUGUUGCCCAGACUGGAGUGCAGUGGCAUGAUCUCGGCUCACUGCAACCUCUGUCUCCAGGAUUCAAGUGUUUCUCCUGCCCCAGCCUCCUGAGUAGCUGGGACUACUGGUGUGUGCCACCAUGCCCGGCUAAUUUUUGUAUUUUUAGUGGAGAUGGGGUUUCACCAUGUUGGCCAGGCUGUUCUUGAACUCUUGACCUCAAGUGAUCUGCCUGCCGUGGCCUCCCAAAGUGCUGGGAUUACAGGUGUUAGCCAUCACACCCAGCCCUCCCCAAUUUUUUUUUUUUUUUGAGGAGUCCACCCUGGCCAACAUGGUGAAACUCUGUCUCUACUAAAAAUACAAAAAAUUAGCUGGCCGUGGUGGCACGCACCUGUAAUCCCAGCUACUCGGGAGGCUGAGGCAAGAGAAUUGCUUGAACCCGGGAGGCACAGGUUGCAGUGAGCCGAGAUAGUGCCACUGCACUCCAGCCUGGCGACAGAGUGAGACUCCGUCUCAAAAAAAAAAAGGAGGAGGAGUCUCCCUCUGUUGCCCAGUCUGGAGUGCAGUGGCACUAUCUCGGCUCAGUGCAACCUCCGCCUCCUGGUUCAAGCAAUUCUUCUGACUCAGCCUCUGGAGUAGCUGGGACUAUGGACACAUGUCACCAUUAGCCUGGCUAAUUUAUUUGUUUAUUUAUUUGUUUAUUUAUUUAUUUUGAGAUAGAGUCUUGCUGUGUCACCCAGGCUGGAGUGCAGUGGCACGAUCUAGGCUCACUGCAACCUCCACCUCCCAGCUUCAAGCGAUUCUGUGCCUCAGCCUCCCGAGUAGCUGUGAUUACAGGUGCCUGCCACCAUGCCCGGCUAAUUUUUGUAUUUUUAGUAGAGAUGGGGUUUCGCCAUCUUGGCCAGGCUGGUCUUGAACUCCUUACCUCAGGAUCCACCCACCUCGGCCUCCCAAUUAAAUCCCUUGGCUGGGAUUACAGGCAUGAGCCACCAUGCCUGGCCCUAAAUAUGUUUUUGUUUGUUGGUUUGUUUGUUUGCUGAGACGGAGUCUCGCUCUGUCGCCCAGGAUGGAGUGCAGUGGCACAAUCUCGGCUCACUGCAAGCUCUUCCUCCCGGGUUCAAGCCAUUCUCCUGCCUCA
rnacentral:lncRNA from 1 species